rnacentral:rRNA from 1 species
CACGUAGGGGGCAAGCGUUGUCCGGAUUUAUUGGGCGUAAAGAGCUCGUAGGUGGUUCGGUAAGUCAGGUGUGAAACCUCCAGGCUCAACCUGGAGACGCCACUUGAUACUGCUGUGACUGGAGUCCGGUAGGGGAGCGUGGAAUUCCUGGUGUAGCGGUGAAAUGCGCAGAUAUCAGGAGGAACACCAGCGGCGAAGGCGGCGCUCUGGGCCGGAACUGACGCUGAGGCAGCGAAAGCGUGGGAGCGAACAGG